rnacentral:miRNA from 1 species
UGGAGACACAGCUCUGUUGGAU